AUUGAACGCUGGCGGCAUGCCUUACACAUGCAAGUCGAACGGCAGCACGGGAGCAAUCCUGGUGGCGAGUGGCGAACGGGUGAGUAAUAUAUCGGAACGUGCCCAGUCGUGGGGGAUAACGUAGCGAAAGCUACGCUAAUACCGCAUACGAUCUAUGGAUGAAAGCGGGGGAUCGCAAGACCUCGCGCGAUUGGAGCGGCCGAUAUCAGAUUAGGUAGUUGGUGAGGUAAAGGCUCACCAAGCCGACGAUCUGUGGCUGGUCUGAGAGGACGACCAGCCACACUGGGACUGAGACACGGCCGAGACUCCUACGGGAGGCAGCAGUGGGGAAUUUUGGACAAUGGGCGCAAGCCUGAUCCAGCAAUGCCGCGUGCAGGAUGAAGGCCUUCGGGUUGUAAACUGCUUUUGUACGGAACGAAACGGCGAGCUCUAAUACAGUUUGCUAAUGACGGUACCGUAAGAAUAAGCACCGGCUAACUACGUGCCAGCAGCCGCCGUAA
rnacentral:rRNA from 1 species